CGCACCGGGCUGCGGUCGCCCCUGCGCCCGCUUCGCCCGCCGCCCCUCCCUCGCGGCCCGCCCCCCGUCGCCCCUGCCGCGCGCGCCGCUCCCCUCCCCCUUCCCGGACUCGGGGGGCUGCGAGCGAGCUGCCAUGUGAUGCGCAUCCCCUCCGCCUGCUCUCGGUGACCCCAGGACCGCCCACCACGCCGGCGGCCGGGAGGGGGCUGCGGGCUGGGAAGACGCGGGCAGGACUAGCGCAGGAGGACGAAAGUUCCCGGGAAGCUGUCUGCUUCAAGAAGUGAGGGUUCCGAAACAAGAAGGACCUUCAGGAGCUUCUUCACACUGUGACAUGUCUGAUCCCUUGUGCCCGUCCCUGCAGCAUGAACAAGGUGGACACUCACUGAUCUACCACAAGAUUGCCUCGCCAAGCUUUGGGGUCCAUGUCUGAAUGGAUUGCUGCAGCCUUCUCAUCCUUUCCUCUGCCCAGUUCCCGGCGUCCUAAGACUCGAAGCCAGGACAGGACCUGGGGAAAUUAUAUGGUUUGAACGGCAUGUCUGUGGAUGAGAAGCCUGACUCCCCCAUGUAUGUGUAUGAGUCCACAGUCCACUGUGCCAACAUCCUCCUGGGCCUCAAUGACCAACGGAAGAAGGACAUUCUCUGUGACGUGACGCUGAUUGUGGAGAGGAAGGAGUUCCGAGCCCACCGGGCUGUGCUGGCUGCAUGCAGUGAAUACUUCUGGCAAGCUCUGGUUGGACAAACAAAAGAUGACUUGGUGGUCAGCUUGCCUGAGGAGGUCACGGCCAGGGGCUUUGGGCCGCUGCUACAGUUUGCCUACACUGCCAAGCUGUUACUCAGCAGAGAGAACAUCCGCGAGGUCAUCCGCUGUGCCGAGUUCCUGCGCAUGCAUAAUCUGGAGGACUCCUGCUUCAGCUUCCUGCAGACCCAGCUCCUGAACAGGGAGGAUGGCCUGUUCGUAUGCCGGAAGGACAGUGCGUGCCAGCGCCCCCAGGAGGACCAUGGGAACUCUGCAGGAGAAGAGGAGGAGGAGGAAGAGACAAUGGACUCAGAGACAGCCAGAAUGGCUUGCGCCACAGACCAGAUGCUCCCAGACCCCAUCAGCUUCGAGGCCACUGCCAUCCCAGUAGCAGAGAAAGAAGAAGCCUUGCUCCCUGAGUCUGAGGUACCCACAGACACCAAGGAAAACUCAGAAAAGGGUGCACUGACCCAGUACCCUCGAUAUAAGAAGUACCAGCUCGCGUGUACCAAGAAUGUCUACAGCGCAGCCUCACACGGUACCUCAGGGUUUGCAGGCACAUUCAGUGAAGAGAGUCCUGGCAAUAGCCUCAAACCGGGGCUCUCCGUGGGACAGAUUAAAAGUGAGCCACCCAACGAGGAGACCGAGGAGGAGAGCAUCACGCUCUGCCUGUCAGGAGAUGAAACUGACAUCAAAGACAGACCAGGAGAUGUCGAGAUGGACCGGAAACAACCGAGCCCUGCCCCUCCUCCCGGUACCCCUACUGGAGCCACCAGCCUGGACAGAUCCAGGAGUGUGUCCUCACCUUCCUGCCUGCGGUCUCUGUUCAGUAUAGCAAAAGGCGUGGAGUCGACUGGCCUACCCAGUACAUCUCAGCAACACUUUGUCAGGAGUUCAGCAUGCCCUUUCAACAAGGGGAUCUCUCAGGGUGACCUUAAAACUGAUUACACCCCUUUGGCAGGGAACUACGGACAGCCCCACGUGGGCCAGAAGGAUGUGUCCAACUUCGCAAUGGGGUCGCCACUCAGGGGGCCCGGGCCGGAGACUCUUUGUAAACAGGAGGGAGAGCUGGACCGCAGGAGCGUCAUCUUCUCCGCAAGCACGUGUGACCAACCGAACACUCCGGUGCAUUCAUAUUCUUCGGUGAGCAGUUUGGACAAAGACCUUUCCGAGCCGGUGCCAAAAAGUCUAUGGGUGGGAGCUGGCCAGUCCCUCCCCAGCUCCCAGGCCUACUCCCACGGCGGACUGAUGGCUGACCACUUGCCAGGAAGGAUACGGCCCAACACCAGCUGCCCGGUGCCAAUCAAAGUCUGUCCUCGCUCACCUCCACUAGAGACCAGAACCAGGACCUCCAGCUCCUGCUCCUCCUAUUCCUACGCAGAGGAUGGGAGUGGGGGCUCCCCCUGCAGCCUCCCUCUCUGCGAGUUUUCCUCUUCACCCUGUUCCCAGGGAGCCAGAUUCCUUGCCACGGAACAUCAGGAACCAGGCCUGAUGGGAGAUGGAAUGUACAACCAAGUCCGACCCCAAAUUAAAUGUGAGCAGUCUUACGGAACCAAUUCCAGUGACGAGUCUGGAUCAUUCUCGGAAGCAGACAGUGAGUCGUGUCCUGUGCAGGACAGGGGCCAGGAGGUUAAACUUCCUUUUCCUGUCGAUCAGAUCACAGACCUUCCCAGGAACGACUUCCAGAUGAUGAUUAAAAUGCACAAGCUAACCUCAGAACAGUUGGAGUUCAUUCACGACAUCCGGAGGCGUAGUAAGAACCGCAUUGCGGCUCAGCGCUGUCGGAAGAGGAAACUGGACUGCAUUCAGAACCUGGAAUGCGAGAUACGAAAACUGGUGUGCGAGAAAGAGAAGCUGUUGUCCGAGAGGAAUCAACUGAAAGCAUGCAUGGGGGAGCUACUGGACAACUUCUCCUGCCUCUCGCAGGAGGUCUGUCGAGACAUCCAGAGUCCAGAGCAGAUCCAGGCCCUGCACCGGUACUGCCCUGUUCUCAUACCCAUGGACCUUCCUGGAGCCAGUGUUAACCCCCCUCCCUUGGGGGUUGAGCAGAGCCUUGCGCCCUCCCAGUGUGCAGUAGGAGGAAGUGUACCCUGCUGCCUGGAGCCAGGGGCAGCUCCCCCUGGGCUCCCCUGGGUGCCCGGCAACACCUCUGAGAAUUGUACGUCUGGGAGGAGGUUGGAAGGCAAUGACCCUGGAACCUUCUCUGAAAGAGGACCUCCUCUGGAAGCCAGGAGCCAGUCAGUGACGGUGGACUUCUGUCAGGAAAUGACUGAGAAGUGUACAACAGACGAACAGCCCAGGAAAGAUUAUGCCUAGCCGCGAUCAGCUCUGCCCCCCGACCCCCGGUCUUCACACCUCUCUCAUCUGGGAGUGCCUCUGCCAGCCAGGGGCACUGUUCAUCUGUGUCUUGAAGAACCGAGAACGACGAAUUUGGUGCACACUACAGCAGUCUUAGCAGCAAUACUGUUCCGAAGUAUUCCCUCCUCUCUUACCAAAUUCAGCAUCGGAAGUUUCUUCUCCAGGUUCAGUCUCAGACCUUUCACUUUCGUUGGUUUGGUUUCGGCGCCCCCGAAUGGCGUUGGGUGAGCAUCGUGGGUCUGUCCUUUCCUCCUCGUGUUUCCCCCUCGUCCUUGCGGAUACUGCACAGCAAUGGUCAACUUCGCCACUUGCACUGAGUUUUGAGUCAAACCUAUUUUCUUAAAUGAAGUUGUAACUUCGGUAUAACUCAAGUAUAUUGUAUAUUCUUUGCUUUCAGUUAAAGAGUAAAAAAAAAAAACAUUUUAGCUAAUUAAAAAGCACUCAGGUGAUAAUUAUGUAGGAAAAAAAAACAAUCUUGCCAAAUAAUGAACCCAUCCUAGGAUGUGUAGACAAUAAUCUGCUUGAAUAUUUUUGUAGCUCACUUCCUCCCCCACCUCCCCCCCGCAAGGGAAGCGGAAGUGCAGAUAAUUCGGAGCUGACACUGGAUGUCCCGUUCCUAUGAGGGGAAAGAGAUCGCACGGCUCGAAGGACUGCAUGUCAAAAGGACAGGACCCUGUGGUGUUGUUAGAAUCCCACAAGGCACUGGUGAGGAGAAAGCAGUGGAGAACCAGUUCCUUGCAGGGGAAGGGGGGAUCCCUCUCAUUUCAGCAUUUCUUUCCGGCCUCUGCUUAUACUUUUGCUCAGAAACGUCAUGUAAUAGGACCUGCUUCUUUGAAGGGCACAGCUAACCAACCACCCGGCUUUCCUGCCCAGGUUUGGCUUUCCCACAUUUUAAGACCUGAGGGGAUUUGAAUGACAGCCUUGGCUUUCAGUAGCAGCCCCACCCCCACCCCCACCCCUGG